GCAACUUGAGUUUAGGAAUAGGGAGAAAUGUCUGGGAGUUUGCUGCUCUCAUCAAGAUAAUUGCCUGGAAAGACUGUGAGUUGUUUGUUGUUCUUUUAAAAAAUAUUUUUAUGUGUAUUAGAGUUUUGCCUGCAGUAAUGCCAGAGUGAAAGUGACACAUCCCCUGGAGCUGGAGUUACAGACAUUGUGAGACACCAUGUAGGUGCUGGGAAUUGAACCUCUGUCCUCUGGAAGAUCAGCCAAUGCUCUUAACUGCUGAGCUAUUUCCCAGGAUGUCCUUAUGCUGCCCUGUGUGAGCAGAGGCCAGGCACUGCUAUGUGGAAACUAUCCCAACUUUGGUAGCCUCACAUAUGGGCUUGAAAAGACGACGAUGGGAACCUGACCACAAUAGCAUGUACCAGCAACCAUUAUUUAAGGAACCCAGACAAGGUGAGCAGCCCUAACUCCUGUGGGUGACACUGUGUAUGACACGGAGAAGGAGCAGGAAGAGAUGCCUGUACGUGAUUCUCGUGGACAUCUCUCAAGAUGAGAACAGUUGAGCAAGGUCAGCAGCAGAGUCAGAACUCUUCCCCCAUCACCACAGUCGUUCUCAAGCUGGAGCCAGACAUCCACCCAGGUGACCCCGCUUGGAUCAGGUGCUUAGCGCCAUGUUGAGCCAACAACUGAGCCUGAGGACUAACUUCCCAAGUCGCAGUCCCUUCCUCACUGGUCUGGAAACCAGUUCCCUGACUUGUCAUGCCUGCGAGAUGUCAGACCUGCCUUCCUUCCUCAUUUCCUCCACAACCCACAAUAACACAGCCAGGACCCC
rnacentral:lncRNA from 1 species